UGAGGAAGAACGAAACAGGACACAAACAAACACACACAGUUUGUUUAUGAAGAAAUUCAGCCAGUGAGUUUGAUUCCAGCUGAUCAAUAAUCUAUAAUCAUGUGGAUUUGUCUUCAAACACAAGAGUGAUCCAGAUGUCCUGAAAUAAGAGCUGAACAUUUAGGUCCAAACAUCACAGGAACAGUCAAACUGUUAAAGGAGGAAACUACGGUGGCCUUGAGAGGCCAAAUGGAGUGCAACUUAAGAAAACACUAGCAAUAAGAAAAAUGCUGCAAAAGCACACAGAACACAACGAAAAUAGGAAAAAACAGAUUUCCAAAAGCACAAGGGAAGUGUUUCUGGGGAGACAAUAAUCCGACGGACCAGUUGCAGGAACCAAAAUAUGCUAAGACGCUUAAAAGAACUGGAGGAUCUAUCGGUUUUGUGAGGAAAGAAAAGAUGAGAGACAGACAGGGAGUCGCUGUAAGGCUGUCCAAGCAAAUCCACGGCUGUAACAGAGAGUGAAGAAGAUUGUAACAGAGUCCAACAGUCUGCAGUGGCCACCACAGUCCACCGUCUUCACAUCACAAGGACAAUUUCAACAUGUCUGUGAAGUCUCCUUGCCCUUGUACUCAUGCCUUGAUGAACAAGUUUGUUUCAUGAAUAUUUCUCAGACAGAAGAAGGUGAUAUUCCAACGGAGCUGAAAAGGAGAGCCGUGGAUGCCUUACAUUUGAAGACCAGAGCAGCUGAAGAAAAGCUGUGACUCCAACGUGAGAUGUACACUGUGAUUCAUCACCUCCACCAGCAACACACUGACCUGCAUUCAUCCAUAGAUGACACUCAGGACUCUGGUUCCACAGCUGUUCUUGUUCACAGCUGCAUCCAGUUAGAGAGGAAACUGUAUAAUGCAAUGAUGAUGUUCCAGCAUCAUGUUGCAGUUGUUGCUCCUCCUCCACAUGCUUACCUGUGUUAAGGUUCAAAUAUUGAGGAGGAAUCCAAAAAUAACCACUGAUCCGGGCUGGUGCAAUUAGACGACAUUUUAAUGUACACAUGUGUGAGUCCAACAGUUCAGUUGUUGAACUACCUUACAAUAGUCAGAACAAAGGCUUUAUAGGGUUUCUGUUGUCAGGCAGAUCCAUACAGCAUACGUCACUCCAAAACCACAAACGUUCUGUCAACCCUUGACACAGUUUAAAAGAACAUCGUCUUCGGCUCGGUGCUUCCCCUCAGCUCGUCUUCG